rnacentral:rRNA from 1 species
UGGCGUGGGGGCACCCUGACCGCAAUGCCGCGUGAGUGAAGAAGGCCUUCGGGUUGUAAAGCUCUUUUGUCAGGGAAGAAACAGCAGCUCUAACACAGUUGUGAAUGACGGUACCUGAAGAAUAAGCACCGGCUAACUACGUGCCAGCAGCCGCGGUAAUACGUAGGGUGCAAGCGUUAAUCGGAAUUACUGGGCGUAAAGCGUGCGCAGGCGGUUAUACAAGACAGGCGUGAAAUCCCCGGGCUUAACCUGGGAAUUGCGUCUGUGACUGUAUAGCUAGAGUGUGUCAGAGGGGGGUAGAAUUCCACGUGUAGCAGUGAAAUGCGUAGAUAUGUGGAGGAAUACCAAUGGCGAAGGCAGCCCCCUGGGAUAACACUGACGCUCAUGCACGAAA